rnacentral:ncRNA from 2 species
UAACUGGUUGAUCCUGCCAGUAGU